GGGGCCGUUGUCCAGCCUGGUAGGAUGGCCCUGUAGCGCCGAAUCCCGGGUUCAAAUCCCGGCGGCCCCACCA
rnacentral:tRNA from 1 species